UACGAAGGGGGCUAGCGUUGCUCGGAAUUACUGGGCGUAAAGCGCACGUAGGCGGCUUGGCAAGUCGGAUGUGCAAUCCCUGGGCUCAACCCAGGAACUGCAUCCGAGACUGGAAGGCUAGAGUACUGGAGAGGGUGGUGGAAUUCCUCGUGUAGCGGUGAAAUGCGUAGAGAUGAGGAGGAACACCAGUGGCGAAGGCGGCCACCUGGACAGUAACUGACGCUGAGGCGCGAAAGCGUGGGUAGCAAACAGG
rnacentral:rRNA from 1 species